AUCCAGCUGACGAGUCCCGAAUAGGACGAAACGCGCGUCAUACUGGAU
rnacentral:hammerhead_ribozyme from 1 species